AUUGAACGCUGGCGGAAUGCUUUACACAUGCAAGUCGAGCGGCAGCGCGGGGGCAACCCUGGCGGCGAGCGGCGAACGGGUGAGUAAUAUAUCGGAACGUACCCCGUCGUGGGGAGUAACACAGCGAAAGCUGUGCUAAUACCGCAUACGACCUGAGGGUGAAAGCGGGGGAUCGCAAGACCUCGCGCGAUGGGAGCGGCCGAUAUCGGAUUAGCUUGUUGGUGAGGUAAAGGCUCACCAAGGCGACGAUCCGUAGCUGGUCUGAGAGGACGACCAGCCACACUGGAACUGAGACACGGUCCAGACUCCUACGGGAGGCAGCAGUGGGGAAUUUUGGGUACAAUGGGGGCGAACCCUGAUCCAGCCAUUCCGCGUGAGUGAAGAAGGCC
rnacentral:rRNA from 1 species